CUCAUGCCCAGUAACGGCGAGUGAAGCGGCAACAGCUCAAAUUUGAAAUCUGGCCCUAGGCCCGAGUUGUAAUUUGUAGAGGAUGCUUUUGGUGACGCGCCUACCGAGUCCCCUGGAAUGAGGCGCCACAGAGGGUGAGAGCCCCGUAUGGUUUGCCGCCGAGCCUCUGUAAAGCUCCUUCGACGAGUCGAGUAGUUUGGGAAUGCUGCUCUAAAUGGGAGGUAAAUUUCUUCUAAAGCUAAAUACCGGCCAGAGACCGAUAGCGCACAAGUAGAGUGAUCGAAAGAUGAAAAGCACUUUGAAAAGAGGGUUAAAUAGCACGUGAAAUUGUUGAAAGGGAAGCGCUUGUGACCAGACUCGCGCCGGGCGGAUCAUCCAGCGUUCUCGCUGGUGCACUCCGCCCGGCUCGGGCCAGCAUCGGUUUUCGCCGGGGGACAAAAGCCUCGGGAACGUGGCCCCCUUCGGGGGGUGUUAUAGCCCGUGGCAGAAUACCCCGGCGGGGACCGAGGACCGCGCUUCGGCAAGGAUGCUGGCGUAAUGGUCACCAGCGACCCGUCUUGAAAAAGGGGACCAAAAAAACCGUCCAAGAGUUCCGCUUUGCUUUGCUUCUUUCGACAAAGGUUAUUUGGCCUCUCUCCUGUCUUUUGCGCCUAUUUCACUUAAAACAGAUAUUCCCAUCUCAGGAGGCGUGCCAUACAGAUCUAUUCUACUCCUUGGGGGGAGGCUUUCAGAUAUCUCGGCGUACCACCUUAG
rnacentral:rRNA from 1 species